rnacentral:rRNA from 1 species
GACGAACGCUGGCGGCGCGCUUAACACAUGCAAGUCGAACGGAAAGGCCUGCUUUCCCUUGUGGAUUGCGGGUACUCGAGUGGCGAACGGGUGAGUAACACGUGAGUGAUCUGCCCCCAACUUGGGUAUAAGCCUGGGAAACUGGGUCUAAUUCCCGAUAGGACUGCAGGGUGGUGCCUGUGGUGGAAAACGAUUUUCUAGUGGUUGGGGAUGAGCUCGCGGCCUAUCAGCUUGUUGGUGGGGUAAUGGCCUAUCAAGGCGGCGACGGGUAGCCGGCCUGAGAGGGUGGACGGCCACAUUGGGACUGAGAUACGGCCCAGACUCCUACGGGAGGCAGCAGUGGGGAAUAUGGCACAAUGGGCGGAAGCCUGAUGCAGCGACGCCGCGUGGGGGAUGACGGCCUUCGGGUUGUAAACUCCUUUCGACCGCGAGGAAGCCACCUGGUUGGAAGGGUGGUGACGGUAGUGGUAGAAGAAGCACCGGCUAACUACGUG